GAAAGCUGUGAUAACUCCAGAGUGUCUUCUGAUACUGGAUUAUCGUAAUUUAAAUUUGGAGCAAUGGCUGUUCCGGGAACUCCCUUCACAGUUAGCUGGAGGGGGUCAACUUGUCACGUACCCUUUACCUUUUGAGUUUAGAGCUAUAGAAGCACUCCUGCAAUAUUGGAUCAACACCCUUCAAGGGAAACUUAGCAUUUUGCAGCCACUGAUCCUUGAGACACUGGAUGCUUUAGUGGAUCCCAGACAUUCUUCUGUAGACAGAAGCAAACUGCAUGUCUUACUACAAAAUGGCAAAAGUCUAUCAGAGUUAGAAACAGAUAUUAAAAUUUUCAAAGAGUCCAUUUUGGAGAUCUUAGAUGAAGAAGAGUUGCUAGAAGAGCUCUGCCUGACAAAAUGGAGUGACCCGCA